CCGACCUCGGUUCUCUUAAUGCUAUCACAAAAUGCAAAAUUUUGGUCCUAUAGGCAAAGGUGGUUUGGGUGCCCCAAGGCCAUUAAAGAUGAGCUCUCCUAGAAACAUACCCUGCACUUAGUAAGCAAUUCUGCUAUUGUGUGAAGAAAAAGGAAGUUCCAGAAAAACAAACAAACAAACAAACGAACAAACAAAAAACUCAUGAUGUACUUACUAUGAACCAGGAAAUUUAGGAGGAAGAACUAGGAAAAUUGCCACAAAUUAGAGGUGUUCCAGCUGUGGGAAACGGAGGCUUCGCGCCGCAAGGAAAGAGCCAAAGUCGUCCAGGGCUACUCUGAAAAGAGAGCACCUCCAAAACCAUGCUAAAGCCAAGCACAGUGGCAGAUGCCUGAAAUCUGAGCAUUUAGGAAGCAGAGACAGAAGGAACGGAAGUCUAGGGGCAGCCUGUGCUACAUACCUGUCAAACUUAAGGCAACGCGGGCCACCUGAGAUCAUGUCUCACAAAAACAAGAGCAAAAGCUCUCUACCCAAACAACAUGUACAUCUGUGUACAGUGCCAUUGACACAACAGGGUCUGUCCUUGUACACUCUAUGAUGUAGAACUCUCACCUCCUUCUCCAGCACCAUGUCUGCC
rnacentral:sRNA from 1 species